UACGUAGGUGGCAAGCGUUGUCCGGAUUUAUUGGGUUUAAAGGGUGCGUAGGCGGCUUUGUAAGUCAGUGGUGAAAUACGGUAGCUUAACUAUCGAGGUGCCAUUGAUACUGCAGAGCUUGAGUACAGAUGAGGUAGGCGGAAUUGACGGUGUAGCGGUGAAAUGCUUAGAUAUCGUCAAGAACACCUAUAGCGAAGGCAGCUUACUAGGCUGUAACUGACGCUGAGGCACGAAAGUGUGGGGAGUCAAACAGG
rnacentral:rRNA from 1 species